GCCGGGUGUGGUGGCGCGCACCUGUAGUCCCAGCUACUUGGGAGGCUGAGGCAGGAGAAUUGCUUGAACCCAGGAGGUGGAGGUUGCAGUGAGGCAAGAUCACGCCACUGCACUCCAGCCUAGGUGACAGACUGAUAUUCUGUCUCAA
rnacentral:SRP_RNA from 1 species